rnacentral:rRNA from 1 species
GUGGGUAGUUUGACUGGGGCGGUCUCCUCCCAAAGAGUAACGGAGGAGCACGAAGGUUAGCUAAUCCUGGUCGGACAUCAGGAGGUUAGUGCAAUGGCAUAAGCUAGCUUGACUGCGAGAGUGACGGCUCGAGCAGGUGCGAAAGCAGGUCAUAGUGAUCCGGUGGUUCUGAAUGGAAGGGCCAUCGCUCAACGGAUAAAAGGUACUCCGGGGAUAACAGGCUGAUACCGCCCAAGAGUUCAUAUCGACGGCGGUGUUUGGCACCUCGAUGUCGGCUCAUCACAUCCUGGGGCUGAAGUAGGUCCCAAGGGUAUGGCUGUUCGCCAUUUAAAGUGGUACGCGAGCUGGGUUUAGAACGUCGUGAGACAGUUCGGUCCCUAUCUGCCGUGGGCGCUGGAGAAUUGAGGGGGGCUGCUCCUAGUACGAGAGGACCGGAGUGGACGCAUCACUGGUGUUCGGGUUGUCAUGCCAAUGGCACUGCCCGGUAGCUAAAUGCGGAAGAGAUAAGUGCUGAAAGCAUCUAAGCACGAAACUUGCCCCGAGAUGAGUUCUCCCUGAGACUUUAAGUC